CCAAAGGCUCUUUUCAGAGCCACCCACCUUCUCCGGGAAAGACGCU
rfam:Felis catus isolate Cinnamon breed Abyssinian chromosome C1, whole genome shotgun sequence.